GGCGGCGUAACUCAGCCUGGUAGAGUAGUCGGCUCAUACCCGAUAUGUCGCUGGUUCAAAUCCAGCCGCCGCCACCA
rnacentral:tRNA from 2 species